rnacentral:rRNA from 1 species
CAGGUGAGCUACCCCGAGACAGCCUAUAUUAUUUAGGGCUAACCCGUCUCUGUGGCAAAAGAGUGGGAAGAGCUCCGGGUAGAAGUGACAGACCUACCGAACCUGGUGAUAGCUGGUUAUCUGAGAAGUGGAUAGAAGUUCAGCCCCAUACACCCCAAAUCAACAUGUAUAUUAUUAAGAUACUCAAGGGAAACAUAUGAGAGUUAGUUGAAAGGGGUACAGCCCUUUUAACAAAGGAUACAACCUUUACAGGAGAAUAAAGAUCAUAAUAUGUAAAACAUACUGUUUUAGUGGGCCUAAAAGCAGCCACCUAAAUAGAAAGCGUUAAAGCUCGGACAGAGAGAAGUUUAUUAUACCGAUAAAAAAUCUUAUUUCCCUAAUCAUAUCAGAUUAACCCAUGCCCACAUGGAAGAAAUUAUGCUAGAAUGAGUAACAAGAAGACCUGCACUUCUCCUUGCACAAGUGUAAACCAGAUCGGACAAGCCACUGGAACUUAACGAACCCAACCCAAGAGGGUAAUGUGACUAACAAAAAUAUCAAGAAGAAUUCACAAUUAAACUAAUCGUUAAUCCCACACUGGAGUGCUAUUUUAUAAAGGAAAGACUAAAAGGUGGGAAAGGAACUCGGCAAACACAAGCCUCGCCUGUUUACCAAAAACAUCGCCUCCUGCAACUAAAUUGAGUAUAGGAGGUCCAGCCUGCCCAGUGACUACGGGUUCAACGGCCGCGGUAUUUUG